UACAGAGGGGGCAAGCGUUGUUCGGAAUCACUGGGCGUAAAGGGCGCGCAGGCGGCUCAUUUUGUCAGGCGUGAAAGCCCUGGGCUUAACCUGGGAACUGCGUUUGAUACGGAUGGGCUAGAGUUCGGGAGAGGAGAGUGGAAUUCCCAGUGUAGAGGUGAAAUUCGUAGAUAUUGGGAAGAACACCGGUGGCGAAGGCGGCUCUCUGGACCGAGACUGACGCUGAGGCGCGAAAGCGUGGGGAGCAAACAGG
rnacentral:rRNA from 1 species